rnacentral:rRNA from 1 species
CGAGUCAUUGUAGCAAUACAAGGCAGACGGCUCAGUAACGCGUAGUCAAUCUACCCUAUGGACGGGAAUAACCUCGGGAAACUGAGAAUAAUGCCCGAUAGAACAUUAUGCCUGGAAUGGUUUAUGUUUUAAAUGAUUUAUCGCCAUAGGAUGGGACUGCGGCCUAUCAGUUUGUUGGUGAGGUAAUGGCCCACCAAGACUAUUACAGGUACGGGCUCUGAGAGGAGUGGCCCGGAGAUGGGUACUGAGACACGGACCCAGGCCCUAUGGGGCGCAGCAGGCGAGAAACCUUAGCAAUGUGCGAAAGCACGACUAGGUUAAUCCGAGUGAUUUCUGUUGAAGAAGUCUUUUGUCAGUCGUAAAACCACAGAUGAAUAAGGGGUGGGCAAGUCUGGUGUCAGCCGCCGCGGUAAUACCAGCACCUCGAGUGGUCAGGAGGUUUAUUGGGCCUAAAGCAUCCGUAGCCGGCUUUGCAAGUCUCCGGUUAAAUCCAGCUGCUUAACAGAUGGGCUGCCGGAGAUACUACAAAGCUAGGGAGCGGGAGAGGUAGACGGUAUUCGGUGGGUAGGGGUAAAAUCCACUGAUCCAUCGAGGACCACCAGUGGCGAAGGCGGUCUACCAGAACGCGUUCGACGGUGAGGGAUGAAAGCUGGGGGAGCAAACCGGAUUAGAUACCCGGGUAGUCCCAGCUGUAAACGAUGCAAACUCGGUGAUGCAUUGGCUUAUGGCCAAUGCAGUGCCGCA